rnacentral:rRNA from 1 species
AUACGUAGGGUGCAAGCGUUAAUCGGAAUUACUGGGCGUAAAGCGUGCGCAGGCGGUUUUGUAAGACAGAGGUGAAAUCCCCGGGCUCAACCUGGGAACUGCCUUUGUGACUGCAAGGCUAGAGUACGGCAGAGGGGGAUGGAGUUCCGCGUGUAGCAGUGAAAUGCGUAGAUAUGCGGAGGAACACCGAUGGCGAAGGCAAUCCCCUGGGCCUGUACUGACGCUCAUGCACGAAAGCGUGGGGAGCAAACAGGAUUAGAUACCCUGGUAGUCCACGCCCUAAACGAUGUCAACUGGUUGUUGGGUCUUAACUGACUCAGUAACGAAGCUAACGCGUGAAGUUGACCGCCUGGGGAGUACGGCCGCAAGGUUGAAACUCAAAUGAAUUGACGGGG